rnacentral:rRNA from 1 species
CGUGCUUGCACUGAUUUUAACAAUGAAGCGAGUGGCGAACUGGUGAGUAACACGUGGGAAAUCUGCCCAGAAGCAGGGGAUAACACUUGGAAACAGGUGCUAAUACCGUAUAACAACAAAAUCCGCAUGGAUUUUGUUUGAAAGGUGGCUUCGGCUAUCACUUCUGGAUGAUCCCGCGGCGUAUUAGUUAGUUGGUGAGGUAAAGGCCCACCAAGACGAUGAUACGUAGCCGACCUGAGAGGGUAAUCGGCCACAUUGGGACUGAGACACGGCCCAAACUCCUACGGGAGGCAGCAGUAGGGAAUCUUCCACAAUGGACGAAAGUCUGAUGGAGCAAUGCCGCGUGAGUGAAGAAGGGUUUCGGCUCGUAAAACUCUGUUGUUAAAGAAGAACACCUUUGAGAGUAACUGUUCAAGGGUUGACGGUAUUUAACCAGAAAGCCACGGCUAACUACGUGCCAGCAGCCGCGGUAAUACGUAGGUGGCAAGCGUUGUCCGGAUUUAUUGGGCGUAAAGCGAGCGCAGGCGGUUUUUUAAGUCUGAUGUGAAAGCCUUCGGCUUAACCGGAGAAGUGCAUCGGAAACUGGGAGACUUGAGUGCAGAAGAGGACAGUGGAACUCCAUGUGUAGCGGUGGAAUGCGUAGAUAUAUGGAAGAACACCAGUGGCGAAGGCGGCUGUCUAGUCUGUAACUGACGCUGAGGCUCGAAAGCAUGGGUAGCGAACAGGAUUAGAUACCCUGGUAGUCCAUGCCGUAAACGAUGAGUGCUAAGUGUUGGAAGGGUUUCCGCCCUUCAGUGCUGCAGCUAACGCAUUAAGCACUCCGCCUGGGGAGUACGACCGCAAGGUUGAAACUCAAAGGAAUUGACGGGGGCCCGCACAAGCGGUGGAGCAUGUGGUUUAAUUCGAAGCUACGCGAAGAACCUUACCAGGUCUUGACAUCUUCUGCCAAUCUUAGAGAUAAGACGUUCCCUUCGGGGACAGAAUGACAGGUGGUGCAUG